AGAUAAAUUGACGAUGUCCUUGUAAUACAAUGUAAUAUGUUCCAAUGAUAUUUGAGGUAAGUCACGCUGUAAAGAAUGUCUCCUUCAAUAUUUAGGUCUUUUUAAAAUUUUGUUUUUCUUAGAUAUAGCAACAAUUAUAUGUUGUUGUAUGUAUAAAAACGCAACCAUGAUGUCAUGCCAGAUUGAAACACGAUAUUUUUUUAAAUAUUAAAAUUUUCAUUAGUGUGGACAUAAGUGUACAUUAUUGCUAAAAUAAAACCGUGUAUGUAUAUAGCAGUCACUAAAUUAUGGUUUAUCAAAACUGACACAGAUAGACUCAUCAAAACAGCGAUCUUUAAUAACAAAACAGUUAUGAUAAUUUUGACUGGUUGCAGUUGUUCCUUAUCCUCAAAACGUUAAAUUAUCUGUUUCUCAGUGUUUCAUCUGAUUUAAAAUUACACAUGUAUUCUGUCAUAUUUUCUAAUGUGCGCAUAAUGGUUCAUUUUGAUUUUACGAACAGUUUUACAAAUUCUGGGUCUUGAAACAUCCUUUAUGACACGAGUUUGUAAUGGCUUCUAGUGAUUCAUGAAUAACAGUUCCAACUCUCUCAGGCAAAGUUUACUUUUUAUGAAUCUUGCUUUUCUUUUUAAAUCUGUGUUGGUCAUAUAGCUAGUCACGUUUACAGGUCUCAGACAUCCUUAUCUUUUAAUUGUUUAGGUUUAUGAGCGUUCUUAACUUCAGACACAUUGUAUAUUACAUUAACAAGCACGUGGUCAAUUCUAAUGCGCUUUCUUAUUGACAUGAUUUUUAACUUUUUUCCCUACAUAUUCCAUUGGUAAAUUACUCAAAACGUAGGUUCUAACUACCUGAGGCAAAGUUGACCAUUAAUAAUUUGGCUAUUCGUUAUAUGUCCCUUCUAUUCAUAUAGCUCCUCAUGUUUUCAUGUCUGAAUACAUCACUUUUGUGUUUAACCGUUUCUGUUGAAGCUAAACACAGAAAUGGUCUUUAGACGAAUGAUUUAGUAAGAACUAUUUCCAUCUUUUAUACCACUUUCACUUCAUAUUUUUGUUUAACUUUGAUACUUCAUGUAAAUAAAUAAAAAUACGAUUUGUUUCGUCUUUGGGAUGAUCAGUGGUAAUAUUUGUCUCUCCGUGUAUUUUUCAUUUGAAUUUAUCGUCGUGAUAAACCCUUUCACUGUCACUUACAAACUGAAAGAUUUAAUGAUAAGGGUGUGAAUGAACGAAAAUUGUACAUUAAUUAAAUCUGCAAAAAAUAACAUUAAUUACUUACAAUUUCCAAUAAAAUGCACUAAUAAUUACGCCUGGUAAGAAAUUUUAUUUGUGAGGUCAUAAAACGGAUAUAUAAAUGUAAAAACAUUUUUGGUUGCAAUGAGACUCACCCUAACUAAAAGUGUUAGAAUAAUUAAUACAUUAGCUCCCGCCAACUCACGUUUAACAUUGUAGAUCCCUAAAAAGCCAGGUCAACUUAUAUUAUACAAGAUGGAAUAAAACUCAAGAAACGUAUUGUAUUAUAUUUAGGAUACGUUUUAGGUAGUUUAGACCCCAUUUAUUUUAAAUAUUGUGUUUUUUGUUAAAAUUUAUAUUAGUCAAACAACAUGGCCAACAGUUACUAAAAGAAAAAAAUUAAGUGUUUUGUGUUUCCGAAAUAAAAUUUAAAAAAUAAGCAGUAUACAAGUAUUACAAUACAGAUAACUAGAUGUCUUUGACAUAAAUAACGAAUACUCUGCACUGCUGUUUUUAAGGUAAUAAAAAAGAGGAGAGAUCAUAAAUACAUUUGCUUCUGAUACCAAGUUAAAAACACAACUGUAUCAUCCAAUGUUUUGUUUGAAAGUUUAGAAAUAAACAGUAUUGGCUGUGCGAAAAAUAUUAAUUGCAUGUAAUACAUUUUUGAAAAGGACUUCUGGUUUUAUUUCGUAAGACGGUUUACAAUAUGUAUUUAGCAAUUAAACAACGAUAAUUGUUAUGAUAGAGUUUAUUUUUACAUUUAAAAUUAUAUAUUGUAGCAUACUAGUAAUUCAGAAUAUUAUGUAUAUGCGGUAAUUGAUUAACUUAUUCUUUUAGCUACUGCCUUAGUUGUUUCCAAAAGAAAAUUUCAAAGAAAUAUAUAACAAGUUUUGAAACUAUUCCAAUACAAUUUACAUUUUGGUAUGAAUACAUUUACAAAUUUACCAUUUACAAAUAUAAAAAUUGUAAAAACACGACAGGCAGUGUAUAGGAAAACAUUAAUAUUAAUUUAAAUUGCCAAGUUUUUUGGCGACUAUAAACCAGAUAACUUAUAGUGUGAUUUACUUUCUUAAACAAUUUUUAGAUAUAUUUUAGCAGCUCGUGCUGGUACUAUACCAAAUGGUUAAGGUAAUUGUUGAAAAUGAAAUAAAAGCUAGUGACUAGAAUUUCCCAAACAUGCAAAAUUAUAUCAUAAAUAUCUACGAGAUCGGUCAAACAAAUCUCUCAGAUUCUUUUAUAACUACGAUUUGUAUUCGUAGUUGGCUGUAUCAUCUGUUUCUCUUUAUUUUAAUCACUGAAGUGAAGUUAUCACCGCCUUCAAAAAGUUUUUCUUGUCUAAAGCAACACAACGAUCACCAUUUGUUUAUUAGGAACAACUUCCUGGGAACUUUGGGGAAGAUUUUACAAGAAAACUGGUAGUUGUUUUCAUUCGUUCUGUUGGUCAGUAACGUCUAACGUUUGAUUGAGUCACGUUUUUAUGGACUUCAGCCUUUUUGAACUUACCUGCGAGGUGGGGAUAUUUCUUAUACUUUGACUUCCGCCUUUUUGAACUUACCUGCGAGGUGGAUAUAUAUUUGUUAUACUUUGACUUCCAUCUUUUUGAUUUUACCUGCGAGGUGGGUAUAUUUGUUAUACUUUGACUUCCGCCUUUUUGAACUUACCUGCGAGGUGGAUAUAUUUGUUAUACUUUGACUUCCACUUUUUUGAACUUACCUGCGAGGUGGGUAUAUUUGUUAUACUUUGACUUCCACCUUUUUUAACUUACCUGCGAGGUGGGUAUAUUUGUUAUACUUUUUGACAUUGCUAUUGCUUUAGUUUCUCUAGUGUGUGUUGUGAUAUUUGUUUUAUGAAUGUAUUGUUUCUAUCAAUAGUUUUGUGAUCUAUCUUUUGUUGUCUCACCGAAUUUUCAGAUGUGUCUGCGAUUUCUUGUAUAGGAUUGCCAUUUGCAAAACACAAAGAACUAAGGUACAUAUGUUUUUAUGGUAGGUUAUGUAGGAUUGCUGUUCACACCACUAAACUUUUCAAUUAUAUACAUCCUCGCUUUUUCAUAAUAACACUCCUACUAUGACAUUUUACGAAGCAUCGCCUACUUUAGGGAUGACUUGCAGAACUUUUCGAAGCAUCGCCUACUUUAGUGAUGACUUGUAGAACUUAUACUGAUAAUAGAUGUGUACCAGAACAUCAAACCUCAUCUUACUUUUAAACAGUGUAAACUUUAUUUAAUAAUUUGAGGAUCAUACGUCUGUCGAGUGAUAAUAAUAUAAACAUGAGUCUCUUCUCCUCACAACACCACAAAGAUGUUACCAAAUUGAGAAACAUAUAUUUGACAAGUCAAUAUGUUUAUGGUUAAUUCCGCAUUGGUAAUGUUAUUAAGAAAUAUGUUAUGGCAAGAAAAUGAAGAAUAAGGUUUAAACGAAUUUAACAAGAUGCUACGCAGAAAGGGCUUAUAAUUUUAACUGAAGAUAUGUCUUUGCAUAUUUCUUCGUGUUUUGUUCUUCGUCGAAAAUAAAAUAACCGAAUAUCCAAUUUUAAAAAUAAGUUUCCUUCACUGGUAUGCUUUUUUCAUUUUCGAUCCCAAGCCAUAUCCAAUUAAUUCAGUUUUAAUGUGCUUUAAUCACACUGUUGAACAGAUCUUCAUGUGAUCUAUGUUAUAUGUAUUAUUAUAAAUCUUACUGUCCCGUGCAUUUUGAAGAAGAUAGUUUAUAAACACUACCUCUGUUGCAUUAAAAAAAAUGACAAUUAUAUAAUUUGAUUUGAUAAUUAUUUUAUCAUGACCUUUUAUUUUAUUUGGUAUGUUGCUAUAAACAAACUCCAUUUUUCUAUCACGAAUUUUGCUUAUAUUUUAUAUUUGUUUUUUUUUUAUGAUAAAAGAAUAAAAUGAUAAUUAAUUUAAACUAAAACUAAACUUAAACUGUCAUAUGAUAUGAUGUCAUUUGGUAUUUUUUCUUUACCUGACAUGAUUUUGUAAUCACAUGUAAACAGAGGGUGUGACUAAGUUGAGGUAAACAUUAAGCACAUUUGAAGGUCUGAUUAACUCAAGGCUAAGCAUUAUAAUGCAUGGAUUGACAGUCAUAAGAAACUGAAAUACAAUGAAACUUUCUAGUAGACUAUAACAAUAAGGAAUUUAGCUAAAAGGCAGAAUUUUAACAUUUUAAAAUCGUUAACUUUUUACACAUUGUGAGUUGGAUGGAAGAUUAUCUCAUUGGCACUCAUACCACAUCUUCCCAUUUACAUUUUUAAGUUUUCAAUUGAGAGAAAUUUUGUCAAAAGGAAUCCCAGCAUGUUAAUUUACUGAUCCUCGUCACUAAUUGUAAUGUUCUUUUCUUUGGAGUUAUUGGGCAAACAUAACCGGAAAUGUUAUAAACUUUCAAAUCGUACAAAGUGUUUGAUAAAAAAAAAUCAUCUGCAAAAUACGUGACACCUUUGAAGACAAAUAAACCAAAUUAUAUUUAAUUUGCAUGAAAGCAGAUAGACAUAGAUAAUAGAUAUAAAUGAUAGAGAAUGAAAAAGACUCUCAAUUAAGGAAUUUUUAUUGGUAAAUUUAUUAGGUAGUAUCAUAUGGUUUUUUUAAUUAAAAAAAAACCUUUGACACAAAAGGAACCUUAUUACAUAAUAUCUUACUAAAACUGUACUUAUUUAGAAAAAUCGUUGCUUAAAUCGUUACAGUAGAUAAUUAAUAUUAAUUUAAUAAAAUGAAAUUGUAUUCGAACGUUUUCCCUUUUUACCCUUAGUUUUGAAAAUAAAAAAUUAAUCUUAUUUCAUAAUUUUGUCAGUAACUAUGUUACAGUGAAAUAUUUUAUUUAAAUGAAAAUUUUUGGUCUAAAUAAUAUCCUAUUAGAUAAAGUAAUUUUCUACAGUAUAAAUUGCCAUGCAUUACAUUGGAUUCAAGAUUUUUUAACAAAAAGAACACAAACAAUAGUGAAACUUCAAAUAUACAUCUCAGUGUAUACUUUUGAAUAGCAAUAAAAAAAUUCCUGUUAUCCAAUCUGACUAAAACUUAUUUUAUUUUAAACUUAUAUUUUUUAGAUGUUUGACUUAAACAUUGUUGAGAAUCUGGAAUUAUAAACCUGCAGUAUUUCUUCAAAAAGUUGAUAACACAGAAUGUGACUAUUUACUCUCUAAUCAGUGUCUCAUGUUCACAUUGUUAUCUGAAUUAAAUAAAUUUGUUAUAAAAACAGUAUCAGAAGGCACUUCAAAAUUUUUGUUAACUUCAUCACAUUUGAAAAUUCAAAAUUCAAAAAUUUUCAUUUAUGAAACUACGCGGAAAAAUGACUAAAACAUUCAUCAUCUUUAAUGGCCCCAAUAACGAUGCUUUAUUAUAGGAACACGUCACAGCAAAUGUAAUUUUUAUAACGAUAUUGAUUUGUUAAGGUAUUCUAUCAGCAAAUACAAGCGACUGAUUCCAUUGAUCAGGAAAGUCAUCAACAUUAAGCGUGGGUGGAAAAGCAGAGCUUCAGAGUUACGUAUGGUUUUUAUCUUAAUUAUAUAAAGUCAAUAUGCAUUUGAAAGUUUCCGAUAAUUUGUGAAAGGAUGCUGUUUUAAUCACAAAUUAAAUUGGUUUUUAAUCGGGGAUUAAACAUUGGCUUCGCUCACGUAUUGCUUCUUGUAAGAAAUACAUGAAACAGAUCUUUCUUUUUGUACAUAUUGUUACAAACACUUAAAACAACUAUUUAUACUACAGUAUAAUAAAAAGGCAAAAGACUUUGCAGCGAUUUCUAUUUUUAUUUCAUAAAAUUUGGUUAAUACAUAUAGAGAUUUAAUUCACCAUUUUUUUUUUAGCAUUAUCGCAUAACACAAAAGCUCAUCUAAGAUACCAGUCUUUAACUUUUGUACGCUAGACGCGCAUUUUUGCUACAGCGAUGCUCGAAUAAAAAAAGUUAAAAUGCCAAAUACAGUACGAACAAGUAUUGAGGGCCAAAAAGUCUCCAAAGUAUUUUUUCAAAUACAGCUCUGGCAGUAACUUUAGUGAUUGGUAUUCAAGCUUUGUGUCCAGAUGUAUAAACAUAUUUAUUUGUCUGGAUGUUUAACUUAUUUUUGUGCGUUUUAACAAAUUGAGCGCAUAAAGAUGAUUUAUAACGACAAAGACUAUACCAUGAUAUUGCGUUUUGCGCUAAUAAUUUCAAAAACGAUAAAAAAAAAUGCAGUCAUGAAUGAAAAUUAAUAAAUCAUAUGUAUUGGUUAUAAUACCACCAACUUUUUCACUAUAGGAGUUGACUAUUUUGACAAAACAAAUGGUCUCGUAAGUAUCAUUUUUUUGCAAAUGUUAUAAAAAGUAAAAUAACAAAUAUACAGAGCUCCGAGAAAAAUUCAAAACGGAAGGUCCGUAAUCAAAUGGUAAAAUCAAAAGCUCCGAAACAUCAAACGAAUAGAUAAAAACUGUCAUAUUCCUGAGAUCAUUCUAAAUAGUGAAAUGCUAUUAAAAUCAGUCUUCAAUUGUAAAAUUUAUUUUGGAUUUUUAUAUUUCAUGCUGAAUUAACUCAUAAAUAUAAAUUUUGAACUGUCGUAUUUUCUAAAGUGUUAUUUGCCAUUAACAUGUUUACACCCCAUAUAGUACUGGGUAAUACUUGAUGUACUUAAUCAUACCUGAAUUACAUUUGCAAGAAUGCAUUCGUCUGGGUGAAAAAGGGUUACCUCUUUAUCGAAGCAGAUUUCGCACUAGGAUAUGUUUUAAGUCUAUCUUAUCACAUAAGCAACACGACGGGUGCCACACGUGGAGCAGGAUCUGCUUACCCUUUCGGAGCACCUGAGAUCACCCCUAGUUUUUUGGUGGGGUUCGUGUUGUAUAUUCUUUAGUUUUCUAUGUUAUGUCGUGUGUGUUGUUGUUUGUUUGUCCUUUUCAUUUUUAGCCAUGGCGUUGUCAUUUUGUUUUAGAUUUAUGAGUUUGACUGUCCCUUUGGUAUCUUUCGUCCCUCUUUUAUGACAUUUAUCCUCAUAAGUGGGUUGAUAUAACAUGUCGCAACUUAUGAUAUGUCCAUGGAAAUGUCCAAUGUUUAGGACACCAAUUUGUUAUCUUUAGUUUUAAGAUGGUCAUAACUAUAGGAUAGAUAAUGUGAUGCUUAAUUUAUAUCCCAACCUAUCGUUAAAGCACUACUGGUUGCAUAGUCGGGAAGGUUACUGAACAUCUGAAAAGAUAGUACUAGUAUUCCUUCUUUGCAUUUAUUCACUAGUAUUCUUUUGGCAGUUUUAGAUAGUUUAAGUACUCCUUACUUUUAUAUACAUAUACUAGUCAACAAAAGAAACGAUACACGACUUUUUUUCGAAUUCAAGACGAAGUUUUCAUUAUAUACGACAAAUAUUGAAGAUGGUAAUACAAAAUAAACACCGAACAUUUUUUUUUGCAUACAUGACGUCAUCGGGCGAAUUUUUUUUUUUUUGACAAAGUUUACAAAAUAUGACAAUUUUAAAAUCAUUAAAAGGUAGAGACAAUGUUUGCCACCAAUUCGUUUUUUUUUUAAAUCAUACAGUUUCUUCGUUUAUUUGUAAAGCGAAAUUCGGCCCCAUAAGAUAUCGGUAAAAUGUAUACAUUAUUCUUUCAUUUACCAUAUACAGUAUAUGUGAAGUGAAAUUCAAAUACACGGUAUCAAACUUAAAACUAAUCUGAAAGAUUCCAAAUUUACAGUGUGGUGUUUUCAUAUCUAAUGCAUUGAUUUAAGAUGUAAUCACACUUUUAUUUUUUUUAUUUUUGAGAUUUCAAAAACUACUUUUUUCAGAAAAAAAGAAUAAAAAAAAAUUUCAACCCAUUUUACAACAUGAACAUAACUUGAUUAGCUUAUUGCAUAUUUUAACAAAUUUGAUUUUUUUUAGUACUUUAUUGUGUGUCGAUUUUAAUCCAAUUUCCCCCAAAACUUACUUAAUCCUGUGAUUAUUUACGCGGAAUUUAGUUUCUUUCUGACAGGUUUUGAUUUUGAUUUUCAUAAUCAUAUACACUUACACGGCAAAUGAAAAGUUUUUAGAAUAGUGCAUCUCAUUUUUCUACGUAUUUUUUUAUCCAGGGCAUAGAUUACCGAAGACUUAUUUGGCACAACUUUUUAUUUUUUUUGGGUCCAUAAUGCUCAUCAGCUUUAUAAUUGUUUCACUGUCUGACUGUUUUGAAAAGAGCAACACUGAUGAGUCCUAUAUAGAAACGCGCGUCUGACGUAUUAAAUUAUAAUCCUAGUACCUUUGAUAGCUAAUUAUUUUAGUAAGCAAUAAAACCAAAUAUUCCUAGAUUUGCUGAAUUGUCCUCGAUCAAUUUAACAACAUUGAAUACAAUCUUUCCUUUAGAUUAUCAGUAGUUGAUUUAUUUACUGAGAACAAGUCAAAGUUAUCAACUUUUAGAAGGAUCACAUACUUUUUUCUUCCAAGUCAGAAAUAUGACAGCUGCUUUUCAAAAGUAGCGUUGGUUUGGUUGAUACAGUCUGACAAAGUACCGUUGGUUUAGUUGAUACAGUCUGAUAUCAAAAGUACCGUUGGUUUGGUUGAUACAGUCUGAUAUCAAAAGUACCGUUGGUUUGGUUGAUACAGUCUGAUAUCAAAAGUACCGUUGGUUUGGUUGAUACAGUCUGAUAUUUUUAAAUAACCGUGGACUUUGGUAUUUUCAAUAAUUAUUUUUUUUCUUCUUAUUGCACUUAUGCUUUGAUAGUUUACUUGACCUUUUAUCAAGUAUCAUUAUAAGACUUGUUACAUAAAAAUAGUGUAUACCAUGUUAAUAUUUCACAAUUUAAUUUGAAUAUAAUUUCAUUAUUUUCAAAUUAGAGAAAAAAUUGAAACAUUGAUUUCAUCAGUUAAGCGCAGUAUAUUAAAAAAUCUUUAAAUGUAGCGCUAGAUAUUUGGCGGAUUAUGUACUUGUUUAAAAAAUCUUGUCCUUAGAGUAUUUGAAUAUUAUGACAAGAAGGCUUUACUUGAUGGUUGUGUGUCAUAGUAUACCUUCUAUAAUAUGUCUGGGGAAAAAAACACCGAUGUAUUUCAUCGCAAUAUAACCAUAAAAAUGCAACAUAAAGCUAUGAUGGUCCUGGUUGUUCUUCUGGCUGAUUUCCCCUCUGUGUAAAAGCAGAUAAAUAGUGAAAUCACAAAAGUACUGAACUCCUAGGAAAAUUCAAAACGGAAAGUCCCUUAUCAAAUGGCAAAAUCAAAAUCUUAUUACUACAAUUGGCAUGGUUAUGCUACAUUCUCUAUCGCUAUUCGUACUGUAAUAAUACUUAAAAGCAUAAAGCAAAACUAAGUUAAAACUCAACCUGACCAAAGAGCAGAAAACAGUCGAAGGCCACCAAUGGAUUUUCAAUACAGUAUUUGUACGUGUUACUUGUACUUCAUAACUUUUAAAUUCUAUAUAAAACAUGCGUAUGCUAAUUCGAAUGUAUUAUCUUUUUUAGCAAUACGAAUAAAGAAACAGAGACGAAGGACAUAAAGUAAACUGUUACAGUAACUACACCAGUGGUUGAUUUUAAAUAUGGCCAUAUGAUUAUUCAUAUAGAGUAACUGUCUCACAUCAAGUAGAUUGCCUCACAUCUACGAAAAGUUUACAUUUGUAUUCCUGACGAAGACGGUUAAUAUUGGAAGCUUUUAAAACAUUCGUUAAUAAAGAAAACAAUAAAACAAGAGAACGAAUUAUUUUCCUUUUCCAUAAAAAUGAUUUAGAGUAUUUUA
rnacentral:lncRNA from 1 species